CGUAGGUGGCAAGCGUUGUCCGGAGUUACUGGGUGUAAAGGGCGUGUAGGCGGGAAGAUAAGUCAGAUGUGAAAUUCCAUGGCUCAACUGUGGCGCUGCAUCUGAAACUAUUUUUCUUGAGUGAUGGAGAGGAAAGCGGAAUUCCUAGUGUAGCGGUGAAAUGCGUAGAUAUUAGGAGGAACACCAGUGGCGAAGGCGGCUUUCUGGACAUUAACUGACGCUGAGGCGCGAAAGCGUGGGGAGCAAACAGGAUUAGAUACCCUGGUAGUCCACGCUGUAAACGAUGGAUACUAGGUGUAGGAGGCAUCGACCCCUUCUGUGCCGGAGUUAACACAAUAAGUAUCCCACCUGGGGAGUACGGCCGCAAGGUUG
rnacentral:rRNA from 1 species